GAUGAACGCUGGCGGCGUGCCUAAUACAUGCAAGUCGAGCGAACAGACGAGGAGCUUGCUCCUCUGACGUUAGCGGCGGACGGGUGAGUAACACGUGGAUAACCUGCCUAUAAGACUGGGAUAACUUCGGGAAACCGGAGCUAAUACCGGAUAAUAUAUUGAACCGCAUGGUUCAAUAGUGAAAGACGGUUUUGCUGUCACUUAUAGAUGGAUCCGCGCCGCAUUAGCUAGUUGGUAAGGUAACGGCUUACCAAGGCAACGAUGCGUAGCCGACCUGAGAGGGUGAUCGGCCACACUGGAACUGAGACACGGUCCAGACUCCUACGGGAGGCAGCAGUAGGGAAUCUUCCGCAAUGGGCGAAAGCCUGACGGAGCAACGCCGCGUGAGCGAUGAAGGUCUUCGGAUCGUAAAACUCUGUUAUUAGGGAAGAACAAAUGUGUAAGUAACUAUGCACGUCUUGACGGUACCUAAUCAGAAAGCCACGGCUAACUACGUG
rnacentral:rRNA from 1 species